rnacentral:rRNA from 1 species
GCGGGGCACCUGGCGGCGAGCGGCGAACGGGUGAGUAAUACAUCGGAACGUGCCCAGACGUGGGGGAUAACUACUCGAAAGAGUGGCUAAUACCGCGUACGAUCUACGGAUGAAAGCGGGGGAUCGCAAGACCUCGCGCGUCUGGAGCGGCUGAUGGCAGAUUAGGUAGUUGGUGGGAUAAAAGCCUACCAAGCCAACGAUCUGUAGCUGGUCUGAGAGGAUGAUCAGCCACACUGGGACUGAGACACGGCCCAGACUCCUACGGGAGGCAGCAGUGGGGAAUUUUGGACAAUGGGCGCAAGCCUGAUCCAGCCAUGCCGCGUGAGUGAAGAAGGCCUUCGGGUUGUAAAGCUCUUUCGGCCGGGAAGAAAUCGUGGUCUCUAACAUAGGCCAUGGAUGACGGUACCGGACUAAGAAGCACCGGCUAACUACGUGCCAGCAGCCGCGGUAAUACGUAGGGUGCGAGCGUUAAUCGGAAUUACUGGGCGUAAAGCGUGCGCAGGCGGUUUUGUAAGACAGAUGUGAAAUCCCCGGGCUUAACCUGGGAACUGCGUUUGUGACUGCAAGGCUAGAGUACCGCAGAGGGGGGUGGAAUUCCUGGUGUAGCCGUGAAAUGCGUAGAGAUCAGG